CUACCCGGAUGAAUCGAGUACAUGGUCUUGUGAGCUUCUUCCAUCAGAAGAUCUCUGACUCCUCCUGUCUUAGGUAUCCAAAUCCGAUCUUGGAACACCUUCAGUCCAUGACUGUUUACACCGAACACCAACGUUUUGCCCAAACGUUCCUCCUUUCGGUCAUUCUUUUCAAAAGCUUCCUCUUGAGCUUUCUUUAUACUUUCCACAAUGGUCGAGACAACUUCAAUUCUCAACGCUCUUGGCCUUUUCCUUUCAAGAUUGACUUUCCGACUGAGAGCAUCAGCAACAACAUUAGCUUUACCGGGGUGGUAAAGUAUCUCGCAGUCGUAGUCUUUAAGUAAUUCUAGCCAGCGUCGUUGCCUCAUAUUCAAUUCUUUCUGAUUAAAGAGAUAUUGGAGACUCUUAUGAUCAGUAAAAAGUUUGCACUUCGUGCCAUAGAGGUAAUGCCUCCAUAUUUUCAGAGCGAAAACUACCGCUGCCAACUCCAAAUCAUGAGUCGGGUAAUUCUUUUCAUGCUCUUUCAGCUGUCGAGACGCAUAUGCUAUCACCUUUUCUCUUUGGGUCAAAACACAACCCAAUCCAACCCCAGACGCAUCGCUAUAAACAGCGAAGUCUUCAACUCCAUCGGGUAGAGAAAGUAUCGGUGCCUCGCAUAGCUUCUUCUUUAGCUUCUCGAAUGCUUCUUUAUGCUUAUCACUCCAAGCAUAAGUAGCUCCUUUGUGGGUCAAAGCUGUCAAUGGAGUAGCAAUCGAAGAAAAGCCUUGGAUAAACCUUCGGUAAUAUCCGGCUAAUUCCAAAAAGCUUCGGAUCUCCGUGGGACUUUUCAAUUGUUCCCAUUUCAUCACAGCUUCAAUCUUGGCCGGAUCAACCAUUAUACCUUCUUGGUUGACCAUGUGACCCAAGAAUUGGACUUCACGAAUCCAAAAAUCACAUUUGGAGAACUUAGCAUACAGCUUCUCCUUCUUCAAGACUUCUAACACUUCUUCCAAGUGUCUGCCAUGCUCCUCUUGGCUUUUCGAAUAAAUCAGAAUGUCAUCUAUGAAUACUAUCACAGAUUUAUCUAGGAACGGAUUACAAACCCUAUUCAUUAAAUCCAUGAAUGCUGUCGAAGCAUUGGUUAGUCCAAACGACAUAACCAAGAACUCGUAGUGUCCAUAUCUAGUUCUGAAUGCAGUCUUCUCGAUAUCUUGCUCUCUUACUUUCAGCUGAUGAUAUCCUGACCUUCGGUCGAUCUUUGAAAAAUAACUUGAACCUUUCAAUUGAUCAAACAGGUCAUCAAUCCUCGGCAACGGAUAUCUAUUCUUUAUUGUUGCCUUGUUCAGCUCUCAGUAAUCAAUGCACAUUCUCAUACUUCCAUCUUUCUUCUUCACAAAUGACACCGGAGCUCCCCAAGGUGAUGAACUAGGUCUAAUGAAACCCUUGUCCAAUAACUCCUGAAGUUGCAUCAUGAGCUCCUUCAUCUCCGUCGGUGCUAAUCGAUAAGGUGCUUUUGCAAUUGGCGUUGUUUCGGGCAACAAGUCAAUAUGAAAUUCCACUUGUCGAUCAGGCGGUAAUCCAGGAAGAUCUUCGGGAAAUACUUCCGGAUAAUCACACACCACUGGAAUGUUCUGCAUCACCUUCUUUUCCUUCUUAGCAUCAAUCACGAAUGCUAAAUACGAUGUACACCCCUUGGUCAAACAUUUUCUGGCUUUCAUCAAUGAAAUGAUUCCAGAAUUCACUCUGCGUUUGUCUCCAUACACCAUAAACGAAUCUUUCCCAGGCGGGUUUACUUUGACUAUUUUCUUCUUGCAUAAAAUUUCGGCGUCGUUGGCGCUAAGCCAAUCCAUUCCCAAUACGAUGUCGAAACCAUUAAGUUCGAUAGGCAAUAAUUCCUCGUGGAACUUAUUCCCAUUCAGAUCAAUUAAGAUGUUUUUCAUGCGAUAGCUAACAGGUACAAACUUGCCACUAGCAACUUCGACUAAUAAAGCAUUAUCUAGUCUAACAACAGGCAAAGCUAGCUUUCUACCAAAUUCAUGCGAUAUAAAGGAGUAGUUGGCUCCAGAAUCAAAUAAAAUUUGGGCAGGCAAUUCGUUAACGAGAAAGGUACCUGAAGCGACAUCAGCUUCAUCUUUAGCAGCUUCCAGUGUCAUCUGGAAUGCUCUCGCCUUUGGCUUUGGCGGAAUGUUGGGUCUAGCUGCCUCCUUCUUCUUCGGGCAGUCCCUCGACAUAUGACCCUCCUCACCACAACCAUAGCAAACUUUCUUUGUGAGGGUACACUCAUUGGCAUAGUGCCCUGGCUUUCCACACUUGUAGCAUGUGUUCGCCACCUCACAUCUUCCAUGAUGCUUCUUCUUACAUUUGUCGCACCAUUUCGCUUCACCUCCACCUCCCCUCGAACCAGACUUCGAGAACUUGUUUUUCUUGUUGGACCCUGAAGUUCCAUCGAACUUCCUCUUUUCUCCAACAUCUAUUCUUUCCAGACCCUUUUCCUUCUGCUGGGCCUCCACAUUCUUAGCUGCACGAACAGCCGUUUUCAGAGUGGUUGCCAUUUUGACUGUCGGACCAAAGUCAGCAGGCAGUCCGUUAGCAAACCUCUCAAUCUUGGAGAGUUCCGUCGGCACUAGGUACGGAAACAACUUCAUCUUCUCAGUAAAUGCAGUAGCAUAGUCAUCUAUGCUCAUCUUCCCUUUCUUCAAGUUUUGGAACUCAUUGUUCAGAUCAAUCAGAUCUAUCUCUGAACAAUACUGCACCCUUAGCUGUUCCAAGAACUCCUCCCAUGACAUUUUCAGGGCUUCUCCUCGUGGCAUAGUAUCUGCCAACAACUUCCACCAACUCAAGACUCCAGUCUUCAGUUGUCUAACCGCAAAGACGGUCUUCUGUUUGUUGCUACAGUCGCAACUUUCAAAUACCAUCUCCAUUUCGGAGAUCCAAUCCAUUAUCUCAACAGGCUUUGGGCUCCCAGAAAGACUUGGCGGUUUGGCGCCCAAGAAAUUCUUGUACAUACGCCCAUCCUUGUUGUUUCUCCUUUCCGGAUCGUUCCUUCGUUCCUCUUGAGUCCCAACUUGACUCACCAUGCGACUAUUGUUCCCUUCCUCCGAUUGCUCGGGAAUCAAUUCCGGUUCCUCAAUAGGUAUGAUAGGUUCAUCCCUAUUAUUAUGCAACAUUUGUCGCAUCUCCUCCCUUUGUUCGGCUAGCAUAGCCCGAAUCAUGGCUUGCACCGCAGCCAUUGUUAUUGGUUCUGGUGCUGCUGCUACAACAGGUAUUUGCUCAAUCACUGGCGGUUGAUUCCUGUUUUCAUCCGCGUUUCCAACGCCACUCCUUGUUCUCACCAUUUUUGAUCUACACACCGAAUAAGGUGAAAUUAGAUCCUCAUUCACGAUAGAUAUUCAAAUCAUCCUUAUCACUCCGAAACGUUUACAUGCUAGUUCUAAUAUCGUAGACAUACGCUUAGAAUCCUACACACAUAAGGUUUCCAGAUCCGGUCGGCAACAGACCGUAGAUCCGAACAAAUAAUAUCAUAUAUGGCAACAUAUAACAUUUAGCACAUAAAAGCAUUUUAGGCAACUUUCCUAAAAUAAACUAGUGCUCGUGUCUAAAAUCCAACAGACACACAUCUCAACAUUCCACUUAGCAUUCUAAGUUUAAGUCUAGAAAUCCUACAAAUUCCUAGUUCGCUUAAACUAAUGCUCUGAUACCAACUGUGACAUCCCCAAAAUCUCGGCCAGAAAAGACCGAUUUUCAUUUAUGCUUUUAAAUAUUUUCAGAGUAAAUCCUUUUGAUUUGAAAGAGUUGCGGAAUUUGUUCCCAAAACAAAACAUGAUAAAAUAAUAUUUAUCAAAGCAUUUCAUCAAGAGAUGCAUUUCAUUAUAUAAUCAAAACUCGGGAUGUCAUGUUCCGAUACAGACCAUAAAGCAUAAACGAUAAACAUUACAAGUCAUUCAACAAAUAUAUACAUAUACAGACUUGUAAACAAAACAACAAGAUGAUCCAUCCAUCUUACGCCCUUGUGCCACUUCCUGUAAUACAAAUAAAACUGAGUGGGUCAGGCUUGGGAGCCUGGUGAGCAUAUAGGGUUUUCAACCCACAAUAAAUAAGUUAUAUUUAAUUUCACCAACCAAUCACUAUCCCGAUUACCCAUUCCCGUUAUCCUCACUUUACGUCCCUAAAACAACUAUCUCAAGGGACCUAAUCUAGGAUUUUCAUCGGGACGGACAUCACUGCGAAGGGGUUUCCUCAACAAUAGAUAUCCUAAAGGCAACCAUGAGGGGGAUAGAGUACACCGGUGAACACAUCGUUCACAACACCUACAGGUUAUGAACCUGCUAGCGUUCCACUGGACUGUCUAGAAAGAGUCCGUGGUCGUUAUCCAUACUCCGCUGAAUAACUAGAUCAACAACAACAACAACAUCGAGGCCUCUCAUCUGUUUAUUACACACCAACUAUCUACCCAUGUUCUACCCAACAUAUUAGUAGAUAAAAAUAUAUAUUUUCAUACGUAGUUUAAAGAAAACCUGUAUAGCAUGCUUUAAUCAACACAUAUGUCACAUAACAGAUGAGGCACACACACAUAACACAUAUCUCAUAAAGAAAUAAGCAGAUCUAUAAGAUAGAAGAGAGUGAAUACUCAUUCACACAUAACACAACCAAAUAUAUACACAUAGCACGUAUUUUUAUAUAAAAUACUUCGUAUUAUUGUAUUAGAAGAAAUAACUACACACUCACUUGAUCAGAAGACGAUCCGACAGCACUACGGCUUAUAGAAGUAGUAAUCCACAGCAGAUCUGGAAGAUCUCCUCGAAAAUCGAACUUCUCGCGGGCAGAGCUUCGACUCGGGAACCGCGCUUCUCGGGAUCUUCGGGAUCUCGGGACUUGCCUCGGGGCUAGAGUAUGAUACCGGGGCUUCGGGGUAGCUUCGGCACGAAAAACGAUGCAAAAGACUAGAGAGAAGAGAAGAAAAUGAACAAGAAAUGAGGCUGCCUUCGGAUCCUUUAUAUAGAGGCUGGAACCUCGGAGUACGCGGGGCGUACAGGCGUACGCAGCGCGUACGCGUCCGAAAUCGUCAUUGCAUGCGUCAUCCGAAGUGUCGACACUAUCGGAGUUACGCGAUAGCGUAACCUCGUACGCGGGGCGUACUCCGGAUUACACCGGUGACACGGCUUCGGAUAAUGCCUCCGAUUUUGAAUUAAAUAAAAAUAUAAAAUGAUUAAUAAACUUCGGAAAUUCAUAACUUCUUCAUACGAACUCCGUUUUCGACGUUCUUUAUAUCCACGCGAAGGUGAGACCACGCUCUACGACUUUCGUUUAGACUCCGUCGGCUAAUUUUGACUUUAUUUUUAUUAAUUAUUUUUAAUAGGCCGCGACAGAAACUUUCGUUAUAAAUUCAUAACUUCUUCGUUUGACGUCCGUUCUCGCCUAACUUUUUAUCGCUUCGAUACCAACAAUGAGAUCUUCGAUUCUCAUUUAGAUUGCUUCGGCUAACAACCGCUCGAUCUCAAAUCGAGUAUAACAGGCUGUAUACCGCUAAGCCGGAACUUCGAUAAAUCAUAACUUCCUCAUACGAAGUCAGAUUUGGGCGUUCUAUAUAUAUUCGGAAACCUCGUUUCAACUACUACAACAUUAACCAAAGAUAUUAAGUUUAUUUUACACUUAAAUUUUGACGCUUAUUUUUAUUCUUAAUUAAUCAAACCACAUAAUUAAGCAAUUAAGCACAAAACACAUAAUACUCAAAUAAUACAAUCUUAUUAUUUCAAAACGGGUUACAAAGGUUAACCUAGACUAUUAUAUUGCUAAAAAUGGCAAGCCCGGAAACACAGGCGUUACAAUUCUCUCCACCUUAGAAUGAUUCCGUCCCCGGAAUCACACAUCAACAAACAAAUGCGGAUAGCGACUCAACAUGUCACUCUCCGUCUCCCAGGUGAGAUUCGGCCCAUUCGUGUGUUUCCAUCGGACAAGCACUAACCCAACCAUUUUGCGUCGCAACUUCUUAGUCUUUCGGUCAACAAUUGCCUCUGGUUCUUCAAUCAACCUUUUGUUCUCAUCAAUUCUCAAUUCAGAAAUUGGAAUUAUAUCGGGAACUUCUCCCGUGAACUUCCUCAAAUAACACACAUGAAAAGUGUUGUGAAUUCCAUUCAGUUCUUCGGGUAAUUCGAGCUUGUAAGCUUGGUUCCCAAUCCUCUGAAGAACUUUAAACGGUCCAAUAAACCUUGGACUCAACUUUCCCCUUUUACCAAAUCUUAUAAGUCCCUUCCACGGCGAGACUUUAAGCAAAACCGAAUCUCCAACCUCAAAAGUCAUCGGUCUUCGCUUCUUGUCAGCAUAGCUCUUUUGACGAUCUUGAGCUGCUAACAUUCUUUCCCUAAUUAUUUUCAACUUUUCAGCAGUUUGAUGAACCAUCUCCGGUCCCAUAAACUGCUUUUCCCCAGCCUCAAGCCAACAAGACGGCGUACGACACUUCUGUCCAUACAAAGCUUGAUAAGGUGCCAUCUUAAUGCUCGAGUGAAAACUAUUAUUAUAGGAAAAUUCUACCAACGGUAAAUGUUCAUCCCAAUUACCUAGGAAUUCCAAGGUACAUGCUCUCAGCAUAUCUUCAAGUGUUUGUAUUGUUCUUUCACUCUGACCAUCAGUCUGCGGAUGGUAAGCUGUGCUUAAACAUAACUUGGUACCCAUUUCCUCUUGUAGACUUUUCCAAAACCUUGAGGUGAAACGGCUAUCACGAUCCGAUACAAUCGUUAACGGAACACCGUGAAGCCUCACAAUUUCCUUCACGUAAGAAUUCGCAAGCUUUUCCAUAGACCAUUUCUCCCUGGCCGCUAUGAAAUGCGCACUCUUAGUGAAUCGAUCAACGACCACCCAAAUCAUGUCGUGACCAUUCUUUGUUCUGGGCAGUUUAGUGACAAAAUCCAUAGCAAUGUCUUCCCACUUACCCAUAGGCACAGGCAAAGGUUCUAAACUCCCGUACGGUUUCUGAUGUUGUGUCUUGACUCUCGCACAAGUCACACACUCGGCCACAUACUUUGCAACAUCAAGCUUCAUCGUCGGCCACCAGUAGUAGGGUUUCAGGUCCCUAUACAUUUUAGUGCUACCCGGAUGAAUCGAGUACAUGGUCUUGUGAGCUUCUUCCAUCAGAAGAUCUCUAAUUCCUCCUGACUUAGGUACCCAAAUACGAUCUUGGAAUACCUUCAGUCCAUGACCGUUAGUACCAAACACCAACGUUUUACCCAAACGUUCCUCCUUUCGGUCAUUUUUCUCAGAAGCUUCCUCUUGAGCUUUCUUUAUACUUUCCACAAUGGUCGAGACAACUUCAAUUCUCAACGCUCUUGGCCUCUUCCUUUCAAGAUUGACCUUCCGACUGAGAGCAUCAGCAACAACAUUAGCUUUACCGGGGUGGUAAAGUAUCUCGCAGUCGUAGUCUUUAAGUAAUUCUAGCCAGCGUCGUUGCCUCAUAUUCAAUUCUUUCUGAUUAAAGAGGUAUUGGAGACUCUUAUGAUCAGUGAAAAGUUUGCACUUCGUGCCAUAGAGGUAAUGCCUCCAUAUUUUCAGAGCGAAAACUACCGCUGCCAACUCCAAAUCAUGAGUCGGGUAAUUCUUUUCAUGCUCUUUCAGCUGUCGAGACGCAUAUGCUAUCACCUUUUCUCUUUGGGUCAAAACACAACCCAAUCCAACACCAGACGCAUCGCUAUAAACAGCGAAGUCUUCAACUCCAUCGGGUAGAGAAAGUAUCGGUGCCUCGCAUAGCUUCUUCUUUAACUUCUCGAAUGCUUCUUUAUGCUUCUCACUCCAAGCAUAAGUAGCUCCUUUGUGGGUCAAAGCUGUUAAUGGAGUAGCAAUCGAAGAAAAGCCUUGGAUAAACCUUCGGUAAUAUCCGGCUAAUCCUAAAAAGCUUCGAAUCUCCGUGGGACUUUUCGGUUGUUCCCACUUCGUCACAGCUUCGAUCUUCGCUGGAUCAACCAUUAUCCCUUCUUGGUUGACCACGUGACCCAAGAAUUGGACUUCACGAAUCCAAAAAUCACAUUUGGAGAACUU
rnacentral:lncRNA from 1 species